UACGUAGGGUGCAAGCGUUAAUCGGAAUUACUGGGCGUAAAGGGCUCGUAGGCGGCCAACUAAGUCGGAUGUGAAAUCCCCAGGCUCAACCUGGGAACUGCAUCCGAUACUGGAUGGCUUGAAUUCGGGAGAGGGAUGCAGAAUUCCAGGUGUAGCGGUGAAAUGCGUAGAUAUCUGGAGGAACACCGGUGGCGAAGGCGGGUCUCUGGGCCGAUACUGACGCUGAGGAGCGAAGGCGUGGGGAGCGAACAGG
rnacentral:rRNA from 1 species